rnacentral:rRNA from 1 species
GACAGGAGGUGACAAACGUUGUUCGGAAUUACUGGGCGUAAAGCGUGCGCAGGCGGUGAUGUAAGACAGGUGUGAAAUCCCCGGGCUUAACCUGGGAACUGCAUUUGUGACUGCACGGCUCGAGUGCGGCAGAGGGGGAUGGAAUUCCGCGUGUAGCAGUGAAAUGCGUAGAUAUGCGGAGGAACACCGAUGGCGAAGGCAAUCCCCUGGGCCUGCACUGACGCUCAUGCACGAAAGCGUGGGGAGCAAACAGG